UGGAUAGCCUUGACAUAGGCAGGAACAUGAUGCUAUAGAUUGCAGUCACAUGUUGAAUUGUGACAUUAUGAAUAGUCUUACCGUUAAUAAAAAUGUAGUAUGAUGGUUUGUGAGUCAUAGGUUAGAUCUGGGAAGUUAACUAUUAUUGGAUGCGAAUCAUACUAACUAGAAAAUGAUAGAUAAAUUAUUUGAAACCCUUAAUGAAUAGAAUGGUUAUUAUAAUGAUACAUGAUAUAUCCUUUUAAAUAGCAUGGCUAUCCUUAAACUAUUAUAAAUUGUAUGCAUGAUAGAAACACACAC
rnacentral:lncRNA from 1 species